CAGCUGCUCUUAACUAUAUAAACCCUGCAAAACUGAAGUUUGAACUGCUUAAAUAAAAGGAUUGUUUGGUUUAAGACAGAGUGAUAAAUAGGCUACCAGAUUCUUGAAGUCAGCACUUAGUAGAAGAGAACCCCAGUUCUUGCUCUUUGCUGUCAGGAGCAACCUGUUUGUGGUAUUUGCCCAGAGUCCCUCCAGCACCACCCCUCCAAUUGAGAUCAGCUCCUCUCGUCUGACCAAGUUGACCCGCCGAACCACCGACAGGAAGAGUGAGUUCCUGAAAACUCUGAAGGAUGACCGGAAUGGAGACUUCUCAGAGAACAGAGACUGUGACAAGCUGGAAGAUUUGGAGGACAACAGCACACCUGAACCAAAGGAAAAUGGGGAGGAAGGCUGUCAUCAAAAUGGUCUUUCCCUCCCUGUAGUGGAAGAAGGGGAGGUUCUCUCACACUCUCUAGAAGCAGAGCACAGGUUAUUGAAAGCUAUGGGUUGGCAGGAAUAUCCUGAAAACGAUGAGAAUUGCCUUCCCCUCACAGAGGAUGAGCUCAAAGAGUUCCACAUG
rnacentral:sRNA from 1 species